CAUUAAUGAGGGCGUGUGGGCUAAUAUCCCCGCGAACCCUAACCCUCUGUUUACUGCCCCAUUGUGGUUUUUACUUGGGCGCGGUUGGGCCUUUUUUUUUUUAAAAAAAGAAAAGAGAGAAAGAGCUCUUGUGAUAUGCCCAAAAGGCUGCCACAAUUUCCCUUCCAUCCCCCCCCCACCCAAAAAAAAAAAUAAAAACAAUCCCACAAAAAUAAAAAUCUGAUAACAAAUAUUUGAUGUCUGAAGUAAAAUCUUAAAUAAGCAAAACUUUCAACAACGGAUCUCUKGGUUCCGGCAUCGAUAARARACGCAGCGAAAUGSGAUAAGUAAUGKGACCGCAGUACUCAGCGACUCAUCGAAUCUUUGAACGCACAUUGCGCCACUUGGUAUCACCAAAGGGCACACUGUUCGAGCGUCAUCAUACAUCGCAUCAAGUCAGGGCCCGGCUUGCAAAUGGGCUUUGUCUGCUUUAUGUAGAAGUCUAAAAGUCAGUGGCGGUUAAGUUAGGCAUUCCAGCGUAGUGGGAUUAAAUUAGCUGUUGAAAUGUCUUUUACUUGACAGCCAAAAUGUCCAGGGUUUCUGCUGGCGGAGACCCCCAGGGUUUCUGUUGGCGGAGACCCUUGGAUUUUAUCAACUAUUGACCUCGGAUCAGGUGAGGAUACCCGCUGAAUUUAAGCAUAUUAAUAAGCGGAGGAAAAGAAACCAACAGGGAUUGCCUUAGUAGCGGCGAGUGAAGCGGCAACAGCUCACAUUUGAAAUCCGGCUUGUAACUAAGAGUCUGAGUUGUAAUCUGCAGAGGGAGUUUCGGGUGAAGUCUGGUUUAAGUUCCUUGGAACAGGACGUCAUAGAGGGUGAGAACCCCGUCAGUAACCAAUCACCAACCCAUGUGAAACCCCUUCGACGAGUCGAGUUGUUUGGGAAUGCAGCUCCAAAUGGGUGGUAAAUUUCAUCUAAAGCUAAAUAUUGGCCGGAGACCGAUAGCGCACAAGUAGAGUGAUCGAAAGAUGAAAAGCACUUUGGAAAGAGAGUUAAAUAGUACGUGAAAUUGUUGAAAGGGAAGCGCUUGUGGCCAGACCUGUGCAUAGGUGAUCAGUUGGUAUUUUUUUCUUACCAAUGUACUCACCUAAAGCCAGGCCAGCAUCGGUUUCGGCGGCGGGACAAAAGCGUGGAGA
rnacentral:rRNA from 1 species